rnacentral:lncRNA from 1 species
GAAAUAUUUUCAUGUCUUAGUUCAAUAGGCGCCCACCUGUAUAAUGAGAGGAAUAUCUUCAUGUCUUAGUUCAAUAGGCGCCCACCUGUAUAAUGAGAGGAAUAUUUUCAUGUCUUAGUUCAAUAGGCGCCCACCUGUAUAAUGAGAGGAAUAUUUUCAUGUCUUAGUUCAAUAGACGCCCACCUGUAUAAUGAGAGGAAUAUUUUCAUGUCUUAGUUCAAUAGGCGCCCACCUGUAUAAUGAGAGAAAUAUUUUCAUGUCUUAGUUCAAUAGGCGCCCACAUGUAUAAUGAGAGGAAUAUUUUCAUGUCUUAGUUCAAUAGGCGCCCACAUGUAUAAUGAGAGGAAUAUUUUCAUGUCUUAGUUGAAUAGACGCCCACCUGUAUAAUGAGAGGAAUAUUUUCAUGUCUUAGUUCAAUAGGCGCCCACCUGUAUAAUGAGAGGAAUAUUUUCAUGUCUUAGUUAAAUAGGCGCCCCAUGUAUAAUGAGAGGAAUAUUUUCAUAUCUUAGUUAA